rnacentral:rRNA from 1 species
GUGAGGAAUAUUGGACAAUGGAUGGAAAUCUGAUCCAGCCAUGCCGCGUGCAGGAAGACGGCCCUAUGGGUUGUAAACUGCUUUUAUACGGGAGCAAUAAGGUCUAUGCAUAGAUUGAUGAGAGUACCGUAUGGAUAAGCAUCGGCUAACUCCGUGCCAGCAGCCGCGGUAAUACGGAGGAUGCGAGCGUUAUCCGGAUUUAUUGGGUUUAAAGGGUGCGUAGGCGGCUUUGUAAGUCAGCGGUGAAAUUUUGCAGCUUAACUGUAAAAGCGCCGUUGAUACUGUGAAGCUAGGAUUUGGUUGCUGUGGGCGGAAUGUGUGGUGUAGCGGUGAAAUGCAUAGAGAUCACACAGAAUAUCGAUUGCGAAGGCAGCUCACAAAGCCAAUAUUGACGCUGAGGCACGAAAGUGUGGGGAUCAAACAGGAUUAGAAACCCUUGUAGUCC